CCCAUUUAAGGGCUGACCACCACUAAGGUACCAUCUCUUUUUGGUUGCUGUUUCUUUGUGAAGUUCUUGUGGUGAGCCUUGACAGCAGUGAGCAUCCAUCCUGACUGAAGACCUCGGAGCUGAUGAAAUCUCGCAAUUGCAGGAGGGACAGCAAGCUCUGCGGGGGGAGGACAGGCCUCCUGAAACAGCCCUUUCACCCAACUGAGAAACAGUGUCCUCUCCUGACCAGCGCAGGAAGCCUAACUCCCUGAAAUGCCUCUUUCCUUGCACCAAGCUCAGUACCUCACAGAGCAGGGCAAGGUGAUGAUGCAAGAGGCUCGCUGCUUCAGUCCCUACAUGCCUGCAAAACAGGACGUGCCCCCAUGCACCGCCUUUCCUCUCAUUCAGCAGCAGAAAGGCACAGCCGUACACCAGCCCUGCUGCUGGGCACUGAGCAGACACAGCUUGCUUUUGGAGGGGAAAAUUUUCACCUGAUGGAGGAGGCCCCAGAGGCUGCCUAGAGCAUUGUUGAGGUGCUGCUGAGACCCAUACUGUGCUCUCUAGCACAAUCCACGCACCCCAUGCCACGUGGCUGCUGUCAGAAUGCAGCGGAGGCUCCUGAGCAUAUUUUACUGGCAUUUUUGUUCACUCUCAAAACCAUGCAAGGACCGUUUGGACCAAAACCUAUUGUGUUUUCAUGUGCUGCUCCCUCAACCAUGGCUCAUGGCUGUCUCACUUUGACCGAGAGAAACAGGAUUUAUACUUCAAAAAUAGCAUGGGCACACGACUGCACCUUUCAAUUACUUCAUGCAUGACAGCCUACCAGCACAGGGAAGGCACAAGUACAGCCUUCUCCAACUCUGCACGUUUCUGAAAAAGGCAGACACACUGCUGCAAGAGAUGUAUUUUCUUUGGACAGGCCCUGGAGAUCUCUCAGCGCAGUGAGCAGAGCCAGACCAGGCAACCCAGCAGGAUGUGAAUCUCCUUUAGCUCCGUACUCAAAAUGCCCUCUUUUUCUUCCUUCUUUCUCUUCUCCUCCUCCUUUCUUUUUGCUUUUCCUUUUCUUUUUCCUUUUCUCAUUUCCUCUCCCUUUUUUCCCUUUUUUCCUCUCCUUUCACUAAUAAUCCAUAACAAAGAAAUGUUUUAAGGGGAAAAAAAAAGAACAUCUACUUUCAUGGUGUAUGCUUUUAUAACAGAGAAAGCAUGCCCCUGCUAAAGGACAAGUCAUUUCCAUGCGCUAUUAUCCCAGAGCAGGAACUUUCACAAAGGCAGUACAGUGUGCAGUUGAUAUAACAUGAAAGAUCAGGCAGCAUUACAUCAGUGCAUCAGCCUUUGAACCAGACCAAAAGUUCCAGGCCAUGAAUCAUCAUGGGGUUCUACUGUAUAAAAAAGAGGGUGCACACCCUAAGAGAUUUGGGCAACCCAUGUAACUGUUUUUGCAAUCAACAGCUUAAAAAAUAUAUAUAAACUAGAUGGUAUUGCAUAUUCCCCUAAGAAUGGGGAAAAGAAUAUGAAGAUGGGAAAACAAUAAAACUUUCUUCCAACAUGUUACAGCUUUGCUGCUUGAGCAGCUGGAAGAGGGGGGAAAAUAGAAGAAAAAGAGAGAUUCAGAAUAAGAGACACAAAAUUUGCUUUGAGGGCUAUUGCUUCGUUUAGAGGGUUCAGCCAGAACACAAGACAUAGAGAAAGUGUCUGGCCACAUUCCCUUUUUGCACUUUAGCAGUCUACAACAAAGAUAAUCAAACAAGUCAACUUCCAGAAAGAAAGUUUCUUCUUGGAUCAGGAAACAGCGGAGGGUCCUGGUGAACAUUUGAGUGAGAGAAAUACCGGUGCAACAGUUAAGAAGCUGAGCCAUGGCUGAGAAGCAGGGCUGUAUCCCACAGCUAUUUCUUCCACAAGGAUAGGGAGGUCAGCCCAAAAGAACAGCGAAGGUCAGUGUGGGAGUGAUGGGCUGGGUUUGGGCCAUGGUGCAGUGACCAAGAGGUCAGUGCAGGAGUGUUUGCAUACAGUUGCUCUUCCCAAGAGGGUCAUGUCGCCCUAUCCAUCAUCAGAGACUUCUGCCAGCCCACAAAGCUUCCUUGGAGAGCUCUCAUUCUGGCUGUGAAUGGGAUUAUCCUCUUCCCUCUGUCCCCUAAACACAUCCCACACAGCAGAUCUCCUGUCCAGGCAGGAGAUGUAGUUCUUUGCUGUCAGAUUCUACUUCGUCAAUUAGCUCGGCACCAUUACCAGUUUAAGGAUUAUCCUGCAGGAAGACAUGCAUUAUAUUAACAUGAAUGUUAUUUGUGUGUGUAAUUUUGUAGCGAGGUUUGUUUUGAUGUCCAUCUCAGACUCUCUUCUGUUGUUUACUUAAAUCACGUCAGUGAGCAUGUUUUAUACUCUAAGUGGCAGUCUAAGGCAAGAUUUGCUUGCUUUUCACAUAGCUAGGCUGUGAUGGAACAUACAUUUUGCAGAGAAAAGAAAGAAGGAAACACACCUUUUUCAUGAAACAAAGAAAGAAACGCUACAUGUCUGUGCCUAACACAUCUCUGUGAAUAUGAGUAGAGAGUACAUUUUUAAAUAAUCACCCCUUCCUAACAAAAGCACCAGAACUAAUCACAGAAGCAUGUUCUUAGAGAACUGUGGCAAAAUCCUCCUGGAGUUCUCCUAUGCUAUGAUAGUUAUUGAGUUUAAGCAGGAACAACAGGAUAUACAAGUGCAUACAAUCCAUAAAUUACUGAUUUACAGAUGACCAGCUAUAUGUUAGACUGAAAUAACAAAGAUCAAGUAAUGUUUGGCAUUGAACUGAGAACUUAUUUAAAAUAAACUGAGACACAGUUCUCAAGAAGAAUUCAUUAAAACAUGGUCAGUCUGUCAGUCUGUCUUCCCUCGCUUCCCAGAAGAGCCACAGUUACUCACUGAUUUCCAGGGGAAAAUGAAGUGUAAUUUAAUCCUCAUUAAAAGGACGGGCCUCAGGGUGCAAAGCAAAACAAGCUUUAUAUCUGUUCCAUAGGCAAAGGUUAGACCAAAAUUCUUCUAUAUCCAACCUUCAGAGGUUGAAAGAAAGAGAAUUACAGCAAUGAUGAAAAUAAACCAAGAAAAUUAAACAAAACAAACACAUUUUUUCUUGUGGAAAAAGUAAUAUUCUAUUCAAAUAGUGAAGGGAAAUUCCAGAUAUAUUUUCCUUUCCUUCCCUUUUCCUUUCCUUCCUUCUCUUCCUUCUCUUCCUCUCUCUUUCUAUUUCUCUCUUUCUUUUAAAAAAGAGCUUGAAUAAGUGGCAUAUGUUACAAUUUCUCCCAUUCAUAACUCAAUGAUGGGCAUCUUUUUUUCCUGCUGAAGCAUAAUUCCCUCCAUCUGUCCCAACUCCAAGGUCCACACAUAAAAUCAGCCUCUGCAAAGCAGCAGGAUGUUAUAAGAAGCUCGCUUUUAUCUACUAAGGCCAAUGAAAUCUGAAGCUUGCAUGUUAAACAGCAUUAAAACAUGUGUCCAAAACCAAAAUGAUCCUACCAUAUGUUUUGAGGCUUUCACCACAGGGUACCACCAAGUAAGAACAUAUUUUACUGCCUAGUAAGCUAGACAGACUUUCCACAUCAGCUCAGUACCUCCACUGCUGCUGCAGGAGCGCACUUGCUGUGCUUCUCCAUCUCAUUUGUGUUUGUAUGUCCACUGCCUUUUCUCAGAAGGAGUGUGGGUUUUUUUGAUCUGAUGGCUUCCCAUUAAGCCCCUAUGAGUGGUCAUGUUUCCAGCUCAUGCUAACACUGUGCAAACUGCAAAAUCUUUGUUGCAGUUUUUAGUUUUAAGACUAAUUAAUAAACCAGAUAAGUUAGAUUUAAAGACAAAUUUUUGGGGAGGAAGGGAUUCAUAUUAAUUACAGUAAUGCAUCCUGAUGAUUUUUUAUAGUAGUACCAAGAAUUCACACUUAGACAAGUAAUCUCUGUCCUAACAAUAUCAUUUGUCCAUACAAGUUAUUUCCUGCCUGAUGUUUUGCAGAGAUAGAAGGCUGAGCGAGGAGGGUAGGGACAGGGGAUCAGCUCCUCACCACAGCACCAGCUGCCUUCCGCACAGGAAUGAAUCUCCGAUCUUGCACUAGCCCAGACCCAACGCUUUUUGCAAAGCUUGAGGAGCGCGUCGGGCACAGCGCGGCGGCUGCGGAGCACCGCCAAGCUCGAGGCUGCAGCACCACCUCGUGUCAGCUGUGGGAAAGCCACCGGCUGGAGAGGACCGAGCCUCGAUGGGAAAUGCGAGGCCGAACAUGACAGAAAACACCUUUUGGCAACAAAAAGAGUUCAUAGUGGUUAGCAGCACAUACACACACGCAGCAGGUGCCAUGCACUCUGUUCUUUGCAGGAGCCACUGCUUCCAGCCCAGAUGGGUGUGCUACGCAUUACAGGAGCUGGCACAGAAUGCAGGAACUGCCCUAGGAUGCUAUUUCAAAGGAAAUCUUCCUCUUGCACAAGGUGUGAUAGCUUAUGUGUGUAUAACUCCCUUCUCGUUUUGGAGGAUCUCAGUCCACUUGGGCAAAUUUGGAAAUGUGGCUGUAGCUCUCAGAUGUGGAGAGAAGAGCUUGGAGGACAAAGGCUCACAUCCCUGACCAUAAUCAUCCUGAUCACAAUUUGCUGUAAAUGCAGCCACCUGCAUACUUCUUUGCUCUGAUUAGUCUUGGUUCUGGUGAUCUGCACAACUGACAAUCCCAUGGCAAAAGGCUACAAUCAUAUAACAUUACCUGAAAACCCUGCGUGAUAAAUGGGUAGAAUGUAACACCUGCUGCUGGAUGCUGUGUCUCAGCAAGAGUUUCAGUUCUGAAAGCACAUUGCACAACUGCACCUGUCAGAGCCUGCACACAUAACUCCCUUCUCUCCCUGGGAGUUCACACCCUGCAGCAAGACCUGGGGGACAAGGACUUGUUCAGCCUGGAGAAGAAAAAAAUUUGGGGUCAUUAGAUUCUUCAUAGCAGCCUUUCAGAAACUAAGAGGUGGUUCUGAGUUCUGCAAUAUAGCAAGAUCUUAUUUCUAAAUGCUGAGUUUUAAGGAUCUUUAACAACAUGCAGAUGAGGCCAGCAGUCAGGAAAUAUGUAGGUCUUGCCUUUAUUUCUCAAUUUCUCAGGAAAAUCCCAGUGAGAUCUGGUAGAGAGAUGUCUACUCUUCCAAUUGUGAUCUGGUCACUAUUGUCACAAUUGGUCACAAUUCCAAGUCUGUUUUGAUCAGUGUCCUGUGCUUUCAUGAAAACCAAAAUAAUAACAUAGACCAAGAACAACAUGCUGCCCAUAAAUAAAUAAAUAACUUAACCAUUAACCCCAAGCUAACUGCAUUGGGUUUGAAGACUUCAGCAUAGAACCUGCUUCUGUGAAUUUCCAGACCCUAGCAGCAGUCCUGAUGGAACCCCAGAAAUUCCUGGCUGCUUGAAGUCCUCUGAGAACCUUACAGCAAGAAGCACUUUUCCAAACUCUAGCUUUCAGGAAAACUAAAGGCACCAACAUAGCUCUUUCCUCUGCAUCACCACAAAACACCACUUCCAAAACAAACAAACAAACAAGACAAAACAAGACCAUGAAGGAAUUCAAAUCACAUCCUACCUGCUGGUCUGGGAGAACUUCUCAAAAUACAGCAGGGGACACUUCAGUGAUCUGGUCUUCAUAAACUUGACCCAGCCUCAGCCCCUAUGAAGGAUUUAGCCUUUAACUGUCCUGUUGCCCAGGUAGUUUGAGUAAGUCUAUUAAACUUCUUCUGACUAA